UUCCACGUCUGUUACUCAACUCUACAGAAGCAAGUUGAUGUCCAGAUGGCAAGCAGUACAGACGUGUUUCUUGGAGCUGCCAAACAGUGAGUACAAACGUUUUAUAUUUUUCAGUUGUUUACUCAUAGAAGUCUGUGAAAGAUGAUAACAAGGGUUGAAUCUAUCAGCACUUGUGUCUAAAAAUGCUGAUGUGUGACGGUUUACUGAAAAGGGUAAAUGCUAGCCAGUACUUACACUUGAGCAACCGUGGGAUGUCGAACUAACUGAUGAUGUACUAUGAUGGUGAACACUUACUAUGUGUAUCAAAAUGCUUUUGUUGAUAUUUACUAUAGAUGAUUUGAUAUUGGUUAACAUUUGUUUGCAUGCUGUUAACAUUUCUAUUUCAUUUCAGGGAGCUGUGGUAAGUAUUGUAGUAUUAAUUUGUCUCAAUAAACGAUGAUGAAUGAAAACUGAUGUCGAUUCUUUUUGUACAGUUUUAGGUAUUAGCACUCUAUACAAAACUCUGUCGGUCGGUGUUUGUGAAUGUGAGCUUAAUGUUUGAGUAGAACAAAAAUGUCUUUACUUUUGUGAUCGCCAGUUGUCUGUGAUGUAAAGUGGAAAAAACACAGCUAUGAAGCAUACAAUUGUUUCAAUAUUUUAUCAAUGAUAGUGUGCUAUGCAUGUUUUGAUUUAGUUCGUUUCAGAUACGACAUGACAUGAAGAGUUGACAGUCGAACAGAGCUGAGCAAAGCAGAAAGGUAAGUGUGUUUCAUUUUAGUAUGAACACUUGUAUUUUGUUUUUAUAUGGUAUGUUUUGUGCAUGCUAUGUUUCAGGUGUACUUGUAGUCAGCGACGAAGACGAUUCAAGAAGAGGAACAUUGCUGAGAAAGUGAAUGGGACUUGCAAACAGGGUAAGUGUUACAAUUGUUUGUUUGAUUUUUACCAUGCAUACUUUGCUUUGCUCUGUUUCAGAUUUCACAUGCAGAAAUGGUCUCAUAGCAGUGCCAACAGUGAAUAAGGAUUUCAUCUGCUGUGAAACAACUCAACAGAAAGUAGGUAAGCAUUGAAUGAAUGCACUUGAGUUGUACAAUUUGAUGUGAUGCUUUUUUUCUGUUUCAGAUUCAAGU